rnacentral:rRNA from 1 species
UACGGGGGGAGCAAGCGUUGUUCGGAAUCACUGGGCGUAAAGGGAGUCUAGGCGGUUUGGUAAGUGGGAUGUGAAAUCCCCGGGCUCACCCCGGGAUCUGCAUCCCAAACUGCUGAGCUUGAGUACAGGAGAGGGUGGGGGAAUUCCAGGUGUAGCGGUGAAAUGCGUAGAUAUCUGGAGGAACACCGGUGGCGAAGGCGCCCACCUGGCCUGCUACUGACGCUGAAGCUCGAAAGCUAGGGGAGCAAACGGG